UUCUUUUAGCUAAAAUUCAUAUGCAUGAAGCUUCUCACUGCCAGUCCCACACUCCGAUCCAAAAAACCAGCCCUCGAUGUAACUCAACUUAAUUCAUCCUUAUGUUAAGCAGCAAUUAAUCCUCUCUAUUACAUACAUUCUUUUCUGCAGCUCAAUCCGCCUUAAACGCUUGCUUAGGUCAAUUCCCUCGAUCAGCGUUUGCAUUCAUUUCCGGGUGUUUGCUGAGCUACGGGUAAUGGAGAAAAGGUCGUUGAUAGUCCGAUUCUUCUUUCUUGUUAUCUUACUAGCUACAGGUAAGUAAGAUAUUAAUUGUACAUGUCUAUAGUUUAAACUAUAUGUAUGUUCGACUGCAUGAAAUUAAGGUAUCACAUAGACGUGAUAAUUUCCCCCGAGUUAUACUAA